rnacentral:lncRNA from 1 species
AGAUCUCGUAUUUGAAUUUGUGGCGCUUGGUGUCCGCGAGUUGCCGAAUGAAGCUGAGCGUCUCAGUGGAACCAGGGAUCUCAGGGAGGGGAAGGUAUAAAAUUUUCAAAUGGAGGAGUAUACCUGAACCUAAUCAUGGAUGUGAUUUUAUAUACAGAUAAGCUGAUUCUAAAACUUACAAGAAUGGCAAAGAAACAAGAAGAGCUUAAACUGCAAUCAUCAACAGAGAAGCUUUCUGCAACCAAAGUGAAGACUGAAGCCUUAGGCUAUGGCAGAAGUUGGGCGCCUGAAGUACACGUGGAAAUAUGCCAACUGAACAUUGGACUACCACGUCAAGGGUCUCCUACCCCUGGGCCAUGGAUCAAUACCAGUCUGUGACCUGUUAGGAACCGGUAGCAGGAGGAAAUAAAUAAAUUUUUUUUCUGUAUCAGAGUGC